UGGGGAAUAUUGCGCAAUGGACGAAAGUCUGACGCAGCGACGCCGCGUGUGGGAUGAAGCCUUUCGGGGCGUAAACCACUGUUGCCCGGGACGAACAUCCCCUUUCGAGGGGACUGACGGUACCGGGUGAGGAAGCACCGGCUAACUCUGUGCCAGCAGCCGCGGUAAUACAGAGGGUGCGAGCGUUGUCCGGAAUCACUGGGCGUAAAGGGCGCGUAGGUGGCUUGGUAAGCGUGUGGUGAAAGUCCGGGGCUCAACCCCGGAUCUGCCGUGCGAACUGCUGAGCUCGAGCAAUGUAGAGGCAGGUGGAAUUUCGGGUGUAGCGGUGGAAUGCGUAGAUAUCCGAAAGAACACCAGUGGCGAAGGCGGCCUGCUGGGCAUUUGCUGACACUGAGGCGCGACAGCGUGGGGAGCAAACAGG
rnacentral:rRNA from 1 species